rnacentral:tRNA from 1 species
GGCGCUAUAGCCAAGUGGUUACGGCGACAGAUUCGAACCAACGCGAUAUCUGUUCCUCUUUGAGGGCGCAGGUUCAAAUCCUGCUGGCGUCG